CCAACGGCAGCCUGCUGGCCACCACCUGUAAGGACCGCAAGAUUCGGAUUGUUGACCCCCGACUAGGGAUUGUCCUCCAGGUUUGUGCUGGGCCGAGGUUCCAGGGAUACUUUGGGAAUGGGGUGACAGACAGCAUUGUCAGCAGCUGGGCUCAGCCUCUGGAGGCAGCCUCCCUAGCUGGCCUCAGCAUCAUGGGAGAGGGGGGUGUUGAGAUAUGCUGUGUCCACUCUACAGAUGAGAAAACUAAGGCCAGAGAAAGGAAAUGAUUAGCCUGUGUAGAGAGGUGGGCUGUGAACCUGUUCUGACCUCAGAGCUGGUCAUGUGCCUCUUCUCUGUCACUGGCCAAGGGUCAGGGGCCGCCUUAGGCCGGUACUUUCUGCUUUCUGAGCCUGUGCUCAGAAGCUGCAGUGGACCACUCAUCCUUCCUCAUUGAAGUUGAAUAGGACAAUUCGAGUGCCAGUACAUAGCCACGCCCUCCUGCCUGGCUCAGGGCAAGUGCUCACUGUGGAGCAGGGUAUGAUGGCACAUGUUGUAAUCUUGAGACAGGAGGAGUGAGGGUUCAAGGCCAGCCUGGGCUAGAUCACAAGGCCCUGUGUCGAGAAAAGAGCGGAGAGGGGAGAGGUUUGCCCAACUCUAUUCAGAAGCGCUCGGUAGAAUGAGAGAUUUCACUUGAGGACAGGAAGAACCUAUGACAGCAAGGUUGCAGCAGGAGCCAAGU
rnacentral:lncRNA from 1 species